UGCCAACAUGUCAGGCCCCGGUUUGCUGUGGGCAGCCGUGCUCUCCAUCUAUCUUGGACCCAGUGUGGCCCAGACGGUCAUUCAGCCUCAACCAGAAGCGUCUGUACAGGAGGCAGGCACAGUGACCCUGGACUGUGCAUAUAGCACCAGUGACAGUGAUUAUUAUUUAUUCUGGUACAAACAGCCUCCCAGCGGGGAGAUGGUUUUCAUUAUUCACCAAAAUGCUUAUGAACGACAGAAUGCAACCAACUAUCGCUACUCUGUGAACUUCCAGAAAGAAGCCAAAGCCUUCAGUCUCAGGAUCUCAGACUCCCAGCUGGAGGAUGCUGCAAUGUAUUUCUGUGCUUACAGUGUUAGGAGUCUGAGAGGUGCAGGCCAGAAGCUGGUAUUCGGGCAAGGAACCAGGCUGACCAUCAACCCCAAAAUCAAGGACCCCAACCCCACUGUGUACCAGCUGAGAAGCCCCGAGUCCAGCGACACUUCUGUCUGCCUGUUCACCGAUUUUGACUCUGAAGUCCAGCUGACACAAAUCACGGGGAGCAAGUGGAACAUGAUGCACAAGACAAAUAGCACUGCGCUCGACAUGGAGGUCCUGGGAUCCAAGAGCAACGGGAUAGUGACCUGGGGAAACACCAGCGAUGCUGGAUGCAAAGAUACCUUCAGCGAGGACAUUGUCGUAGCCCCCAGCGACGGAAUCGCCUGUAACGCCAAGCUGGUAGAGAAAAGCUUUGAAACAGAUAUGAACCUAAACUCCCAGAACCUGUCAGUGAUCGGGUUCCGCAUCCUCCUCCUGAAGGUGGUCGGGUUUAACCUGCUCAUGACGCUGCGGCUCUGGUCCAGUUGAGGUCACCGACAGCCUGAGAGCCCCGUGCUCCCUCGCCCCUUGCUCCUCGUCGCCCUUCCUCUCCCUCUCCAAGCAGAGAGGCGCACUCUCUGCCCCUGUGGAUGAGAAGUCUCCCUCCUCCUCUCUGGCCUGGCUGGCCAUAACACCAACUGGAUCCUCCAGAUACUGGCGAUCAAGAUGCUGACAAGCUGCCCAGCACAGCUGCCACCCACUCUUCCUCACUGCUGCUUGUCACUGCCUGGCAUUCUCGGCAAAGUCGGGGGGCUGCUGCACCCUCUCCUGGCUGUAGGGACACUCCCUCCCCACCCCCACCCCCCAGAGACUGCCUCUGAUGUCCCACUGGAUGGUGGAUCCCCAGUGGGUUCUCUUGGGCUCUAGCUCCCGGAGAAUGUUGUGUGGUGUUUAUAUUUUUUACAUAGUGUUCAUAAAAAAAUAUAUAUCACCCUUUUUCCCAAGAUGUGGGGAAAAAUUAUCUUUUCAUGAUCUAGGCCCUGCUCUGCUGUGUAUCUGAGCCACAUUGUAUAUUCUGCUGCCAAGGCUUCAAUAAAAGCGAUUUGGAAGAGA